UCCUGGGGUAGAGGUAGCCAUAAGGCACGAAGAUGUCCGAGUCUGCCCUGUAGGAGAGCGUCCAGUUGAAGAGGUUACUUGCUAGGCUUCGCAGCCCUGGGGAGUGCGAGGGCGACUCGAAGUUCAUCCAAACCCAGCGCUGGCCUGGGGGCCUGGGGCUGGAGGUCGCCAGGGCUUCUGCCGCCGCCGCUGCCUCCUCGUCGUCCAACACUCCCAGUUCCACCUCCUCGGCACUGCGCGCCUGGACGCCCCAGGGCGGGGGCCAGUCGGGGGGUCCCUUCACAAGGUCGCGGUGGUGGAAAAGCACGGCCUGAGCCUCUCCGUAGGACGCGCGGUCGGUGAGUAGGCGGCAGCCGCUAAUGUUGAAGCGCAGCCGGCAGUCGGGGGGCGGCCUCGCGACGUUGCCGCGCCCCCCGAAGGGCUCCCACCACAGCAGCACGCCCACCGGUCGCGGCGGGGUUGGCGACGCCCAGGGCAGAGGCGGCAGCUGCCCCCAGCAGGCAUAGGUGAUCAGCGCCGUACACGUCAAGCCGGCGGCCGCCAGCGCCCAGACGGUCCAUGGCAGCCGCCGGCCUCGGCGCCACCCGCGCCGCCCGCCCGCCGCCGCCGCCGCCGGUGAACCCCACGGCGCCCCCAUGGCGAGAACGGGCUGAGCUGCCUCCGCUCGCCACGCGUCCGUAGGCGUGGAGGAGCGGCACCGGCUCUCAUGCUGCAGCUGCGACUCCAGCCGUCGCUGUAGCUCGCCGCUGACCCGGGAAUGGAAGGGGGCGGUCCCGGAAUCCAAAGGCCGCAGGCCCAGCCCUGCUCCUCCCAAGUGCCGGGCGGGGCGAGCCGCCAGGGCAAGCUGAUCUGCUUUCCCUCUGCGCGCGCCCACCGCCCCGCGCCUCGCUCACGGUGGCCCGAACCCUCUUCCAGAGGGAAGGCCCGGUUCAUCCCUGGGAAGGUACAGGGGGCUCAAGACCUUCCAAAGCAGCUGCCGCGCAGGAGCAGAAGCUGGAACAGACGGAAGGCGGACCCGGCGCCGCAGGACGGAGAAUCCGCGUCGGCUUCCUGCCGUUGGGCCUAG
rnacentral:lncRNA from 1 species